UACGUAGGUGGCAAGCGUCGUCCGGAUUUAUUGGGCGUAAAGCGCGCGUAGGUGGUUCCUUAAGUCUGAUGUGAAAGCCCACGGCUCAACCGUGGAGGGUCAUUGGAAACUGGGGAACUUGAGUGCAGAAGAGGAAAGUGGAAUCCCACGUGUAGCGGUGAAAUGCGUAGAGAUGUGGAGGAACACCAGUGGCGAAGGCGACUUUCUGGUCUGUAACUGACGCUGAGGCGCGAAAGCGUGGGGAGCAAACAGG
rnacentral:misc_RNA from 1 species